AUUGAACGCUGGCGGCAGGCCUAACACAUGCAAGUCGAGCGGAUGAAGGGAGCUUGCUCCUGGAUUCAGCGGCGGACGGGUGAGUAAUGCCUAGGAAUCUGCCUGGUAGUGGGGGAUAACGUCCGGAAACGGGCGCUAAUACCGCAUACGUCCUGAGGGAGAAAGUGGGGGAUCUUCGGACCUCACGCUAUCAGAUGAGCCUAGGUCGGAUUAGCUAGUUGGUGGGGUAACGGCCUACCAAGGCGACGAUCCGUAACUGGUCUGAGAGGAGGAUCAGUCACACUGGAACUGAGACACGGUCCAGGCUCCUACGGGAGGCAGCAGUGGGGAAUAUUGGACAAUGGGCGAAAACCUGGUCCAGCCAUGCCGCGUGUGUGAAGAAGGUCUUCGGAUUGUAAAGCCCUUUAAGUUGGGGGGAAGGGCAGUAAGUUAAUACCUUGCUGUUUUGACGUUACCAACAGAAUAAGCACCGGCUAACUUCGUG
rnacentral:rRNA from 1 species